AGCCUAAAUGUAUGGAACAUACAGAAACUCCUUCCGGAAGCGUACCUGCUAAGUAACAACCAUUAAGAAAUAUCUUCACGCCACCACCAUCCUUCCCCACCUGAUAAUUACAGGUUAUUUAUAAACAUCAUAUUUAUAUUACCAGCCUUUUCUGGUGAUAUAAGACUCCCUGAAAGUGCAUGUGCGAACUAGCUGCACGCUUCUGACACCAUCACUUGAAGAGCUUGCAGUUUCUUCUUCAGACAUGCCUUUGCCGAAGAAAGAUGGUAGAAGACUGCUGAGACCCCUAGCAAGAGAGACAGGCAGCAAAAGUUCAGACACUUUGAACUGGCAGCCCAGCAGCUCCUUGGUGACGUGGCCGUCUUACAGAAUGUCCAUGGCCCUUGAUGAUUUCAUUCAUGGCUCUCAUUCUGGCAGCAGCAGACGGCAUGUUGCUUCUGGGCUGGCGUAGUGCUUCCCUCGGCCGUGCCAGUGGAAUGGUCUGGUCCGGAUAGCCCUCACCUUUUGGACACUUGUCUUCAGUUUUCCUCAAGUUGAGAGUUUCUGUGCAUCUGGGAAACUGGUGACAGAAAACAUAGCCUUUUAGAGGCUGAAAACAGUGAAAGAAGAGGCUGCCUUCAGCAGAGAAGGAAAGGAAAAGCAGAACGUUUGAGUUCUACUUUCAGUUGUGUUUGUCACAUAGUAGAAGUACUCGCUGAAUUACAGGCUGUACUAAAUACUACUUUGUGUGCCCCCGAUUGCUAAGCUCCGUAUAUUCCCACCACUUUCACAGGUUGCAUUUUUAAU